rnacentral:rRNA from 1 species
CUAGCUGGUCUGAGAGGAUGACCAGCCACACUGGAACUGAGACACGGUCCAGACUCCUACGGGAGGCAGCAGUGGGGAAUAUUGCACAAUGGGCGCAAGCCUGAUGCAGCCAUGCCGCGUGUAUGAAGAAGGCCUUCGGGUUGUAAAGUACUUUCAGCGGGGAGGAAGGGAGUAAAGUUAAUACCUUUGCUCAUUGACGUUACCCGCAGAAGAAGCACCGGCUAACUCCGUGCCAGCAGCCGCGGUAAUACGGAGGGUGCAAGCGUUAAUCGGAAUUACUGGGCGUAAAGCGCACGCAGGCGGUUUGUUAAGUCAGAUGUGAAAUCCCCGGGCUCAACCUGGGAACUGCAUCUGAUACUGGCAAGCUUGAGUCUCGUAGAGGGGGGUAGAAUUCCAGGUGUAGCGGUGAAAUGCGUAGAGAUCUGGAGGAAU